CGCUGGGAAGCUGUGGCCUCUCUUUCCUGCUAAAGGCUUGCUGCCUUCACAAAAUCCCAUUGCGGGCGUGAGUGAGGAUGGCAGAACCCUGACCGAACAGCACAGCCCUCCCCCUUGUCCAUCCACCAGGGAGGGGACAGACAAUCCAUGUUUGGCCGGGGGACUCAGCAGUGCCUGGGAAUACAGGAGAGUGGAUGGCAGCGAUGCUCCUGCCAACACCAAUGGCAUUGAGAAUGCAGCGAGAGCAGCACUGGGGUCUUGUGUCUUCUCUCCCCAUCCUCAGACAAAAGUCACACUGGGAUAAUGCCCCAGGGCUUGGUGGAGCAGUUCUGGGAGCAGGAGGGGCUCUCCAGCAAAUGAAGGGGUAAGAAGAAGCUUAGAGACCACAACAGAGACUUCUCAGCUUAGAAAACAAGAAAAGGAGAAAAUAGAUCAGCUUCAAAGCAAAAAGCAGUGGAGAAAUUGCAGGAAAGCUGCCCAAGGCCAGACCUAUCUCCAUGCAGCAGCCAUCAGAGGCUGUGAAUGAGAACAACACUCUCCCCAUUGUAACAGAGAAGCUCGAUGCUCAUGGACAUACAGAAGGCAGGGGACACUUAGCCCUGUGCAGGGACAGAGAGAGAGGUCCCAGCCCACAGGGCUCACCCUGGCCCGGACACCAUUUAGUCACUGCCCCCUGGGGAAAGGACAGAGCCUCAAACCAACCCAUGGCAACAAGCUGCCCCUAUCCAUAAGGCAGCAUCCCUGGGAGUGGGACCACGUGUGCUGCAGCAUGGGGGCUCAGUCCUGCUCCCAGCCCCGCUCAGACUGCGGCACCCACCGGGAUCCCCAGCAGCUACCGGCCGUCAGCCACAUCCCCACGAGGUGCCUGGGGGAAGUUUGGCUGCUAACCAUGUUGCUGAUUGGUAUAGCCAAAUACCUACCUCUAAGGGAAAAGAAAAAAACUGAAAAAGCCUUUCUCCAGCACGGAGACACAAGCAACGACAGGGGAAGCAGGUAAUUAGCUAUGUGAUGGAGCAAUCCGCUCCUGCCGAGGAAAUUCUUGGCACCGGAAUUCUGCCACAUGAGAACAUGUGUGUACCCAAGUGAGGAUCGAUUUAUUUUAUUUUCUUAUUUGCUUCAUUUAUACAUUUUUUAAUGAAGAUCAUUAUAUGUUUUUUAAAUGUCAAAUGCAGGAGAACUGGAAGGGGUGGGGGUGGGGGAACUGUGGGCAUUCUUCACUUCAGAAGCCUGAAUGUUUCAAAGUUGCUGCUGUGCUGUUAGCUGACGGCUAUUGUGUGUGUUUAAGGCUGGGGGGGCGCAAGGAGGGGGCUCUGACCCCCCGUUGGUGUGGAUUUGCUGUCCAAAGACCGUUAGAAAGAGGCAGAAUGAAUGAGAUUGAAUGGAAUUGUAAUGCACAAGGCCCUCCUCCUUUCUCAAGGAGCUGGGAGGCCAGGAAAGCGAGUCGUGGGGAGAGCAGGCAGCUUUCUUACACAUAGGAAGAGGCUUUGCAAAUCAUCAAAUGGUGUACUUCUGGGGGAAGAGGGGAGGGAGGGGAUUUAUUUAUUUUUUUAUUACAGAUCUGAAAAAUAAUACUAAUGAUAAUAAUAAUCCUGCAGCGGCCGAGAAGACCAAAAGGAGAAAAAGAGAGAGAGAAAGAGGGAGAGAGGAGACUUGAUAGAAAAAUCUGAUUCCCAAAACUCUUGUAAGUGUCAUUACUUUCUAAGAAAAUGAAUUGCUUUCUAAGUAAAAGAGAAAUGUGGAGGAAUGCCUGAAAUGGUAGCAGGGAAUGGACUCUGCCUGUCUCUUUCCUACGCAGCGAGAUUUCUGGGGCACAAAGCAGAGGCCUAGAGGCUGCAGAGCAUUUCUCUGAGCUCUGAAGCAGAGCUGGGCCUGGUUUGAAGGAGCUUUCCCUUCCUGACCGCCCGCGGGGGGCUCAGCAGCUUGGGGGCUGUGUUACCUGGGUCCCAUCCCACAGGCAGACAAAGGCCGGGAGCUUCUUUCCUUGUGCAGCAGAAAUAAGGAGGGGAGGAAAUCGGUUUUGGAGAAGGAAGGGUUGCUUUGCGAGAGCGGCGGUGUGCGGGUGAUGGUGUGGGUCAGGACGGGGCUGCGCCGAUGUUUUCAGGGUUUGUUGUGCCGCCGUUGAUGUCGGGUUCGAUCUUGUGUGUUUUUCUAACGUGGUCGUCUCUGCCUGGCGGAGCCGGGGUUUGGAAAUGGAAGGAAAGUGGAGGCAUGUUGCUCGUCUCUGGGAUCUCUUUGUUCAGGGAACAGUAGGUGGUGGGUUUAAAAAGGCAGAGAGGGAAAGAGGGGGAGAAGAAGAAAGAAAUGAAAAAGGAAAAAAAAAAAAAAAAAAAAAAAGGUUCUUUGCAAAUCAUCUGACUAUUUUCUUCCGGGAUGAAGAAAUGCUGCAUUAGAGAUUAAGGCAGGGCCAUGCUUAAAACAAAAUGUCUCACUGGAAGUGCUAAUAAAACAGCAGCAGAGCCCAGCCUGCUUUUACAGCCUGCAAGCCAGGAAGGGGCUACAGGGAUGGGAUUGGGGGGCAGCCAAUGGGGGCAUUUCAUUGUGAACUUCAGAGGCUCUGAGCUACCGGUGCGGUUUGGUUUAGAGGGGAAAUUAAACCCUGCCACCAGCACUGUUGCCCGCUGCCACACGGCACGGCUCAGCCGCCCACACCGGGGCUCGGUGCUCUGUCAGGGGCUCAGCAUCCCACUCCGUGUCCCGUGGUUUGAUGGGGUUGGGCUGGGGAGAAAGCAGCAGCAAAAUCUAUGGGUUCCCCUAGGAGGAUCUGGGGAAGGCGUCCGGGGCAGCACGAGCAAGCAGCGUUUCCCGCAUCCCAGCCCGCACCUCCGCGGCUGCCUUGCUGCAGAAUGAGCAGAGCAGCCCGUGGUAUGGAGCUGGGGGAGAAUCCCUGCGCGCCGGUCCCGUGCCCCGGAGCUGCGGCCCCGCGCCUUCAAUACCAUGGACAGCGAAGCCGAAGCGCGGCGGCACCGAAGCGGCGCCGGGUGGGGACGGAGAGCGGGCCGGGAGCCGGAGGGGGCCGUGCGGACACACCGCAGCGCCUGCCCGGGCUCUGUCCCCGCUGCCACCGGCUCCCAGGAGCUCCGGGGCCGGAGGAGGAGGGGAAAGGCUGCCCAACGUGCCCGGAGUUGGGGAGAAAGCUUCUGGAGCAGAAUGCUUCCCUCCGCCUUCAUUUGGUGAGGUUGUUUUCUUUUAGAUCAAUAACAGAUUGAGAGACGUGGUCUGUCAGAGUAAAUAGGUCAAUAUAGAAUAGGCUGUAAAUAAGCAGAUUUUAAAAUAAAUAAAUAAAUAAAAAUAAACACGUUUCAGAAGACGAAACGCUAGGGGAAAAUUCCCUUUGCUGCAUAACAUCAAACGUUGAUAUCCCCCUCCCCCUCCCCCUACCCCCCUUCCACCCCGUUUGGUGCCUAUGUCAUGCACUGCAGAGUUAUAAACACAAAUAGGGGCCCUUUAAAAUACGUCUCUUGAGCUUGGAAGGUGAUAUUUCACCUCGCUGCAGUGCUCCUGCUUGUCCCUCGUUGGCCAAACAUGGCCCAGCAGCCGCUCAUUCUGUGAAAUGCUAUCUGCAGGCCGACCUCCCCUCGGAGCCCCGUGUGUGGGAGCCGCCAUCCGCCAUGCAAUUGUGCUGAUGGAGCAGCAAAGGGAGCAGAUCGCAGCCCCAGCGGUCGCUGCCCCGCUGUCCUGGACCUGCAGGGGCACGGGGGCCUUCUAAGGCUGCGCCAAGAUGCCUUCCAUCAAAACCAUUGUGUCCUGCCUCCUUACCCCUUCCUGAGAAGGGAAAUACCACUGGGCAUGGAAACACACGCAUGCAAAUAAAUCCUUGCCUGAAAGCUACGCUAGCGAAUGCGCAGUGCGCUGCUGGUCAUAAAGUUGCUUUGGACAGGGAAUAGGGGUGUGUAGAAACCCCCCUGGAUCUGCACCUCCUGUCACAAACAUCAAUGUGAGUACGUGCGUGCGGAUGUCCACAGCUUGGGGGUGCAUGUACGGAUGGGGGGUGGAUAACCAGCAGCGAGGAAGCAGUCUGCUUAUGGAAAAACAAAACACAUGAGGCUUCUGAGCAAAGCCUCUCCCAGCUGCCUGAAGCCCACUUGGUGUUCAAUCCAUUUUCUUUCCCCAGGCACGAAAUUUGGCCUCCCUAGGUAAAUAAAUGUGUACCCGUGCCCCUUUUCAUUGUGAUGAGGUCUGGAAGUUUAACCAAGGAGAACUGCAGCAAAACCAUGGCCGAAUGCUUCCCAGCAGUGAGCCCCGGCCGGGCUGCCGUGGGGUUGGGGCAGGGCGAGGGCAGAGCAGCUCUGAGUGCCUUCUGCAUUUCCAAAGGUGGGAGAUUUAGCUCGAAAAAUACCCUGUCUGUUUGUCACCUGGACGUCAAAACCGUUCCCUUUCAGCACAGCAGGUCCUCACGCCUGCAGGUCUGUGCUCAUGUGACACAGGGAAAAAUCUAACGUUAAAACCCCAAAUAUAAAAUUUGUAUUAGAUAUUUAAGGGGAACCUCUUACUUUAUAUACCUCAGGACACAUUGUCUCUGUUCUGAGAGAACGGGGGUGAAAUCCUACACGUUUCUAAAAUAAAAAAAAAAGGGGGGGGGGGGGGAAGAGAGAGAAAGAAAGAAAAGAAAAGAAAAAAAAAACCGUUUUAAAAUUACAUUCAUGUCAGCUUUAAAAAAAAAAUUAUCGCUGAUGUCUUUUUGAGCUUGGAAAUGUAACUGUAGGAUGCAGCUCUCCCCUCCCCCUCUGCCCCUCCACCCCUCCCUUCCCAACUGAAAAAAAAAAAAAAAAAAAAAAAAAGAAAGAAAAGAAAAAGCAACAGAAUAUAUAAAGCUGCUCUGAUUAACAGUUUAGGUGCAGAGCCCUAUUUAUAAGGCACACGCUCUGCUAUAACGCCUCGGUCCUGCAGCCCGGAGCGGUGCAUUAUUGAUGCAGCUGCAAGUGCUCAAAGCUUAAACACUAUUUUCCGAGAGCCCCAGCAGCCCGCCUGGGAGGAAGGUGGGGACGGGCUGGCAAUGGAGUCCUGAAUGUUACUCCUCCAGUUUCAAGGACAUCUUGCUGAUGAGGAUUUGGUUAAUGGAGGAGAACUUAUGUCCUAGCGGUGACGUCAUUGGGUCCCAAUGUAAUCCUCUUGUGCUGAACCCAAUCAGCAGAUGUGCUGAGAGCCGGGAUGCGGAGAAGAAGCUCUAAUCCCUUAGACUGGAUGAGAUCAGCUGAAACAGCCAGGACUAGACCCCAAACCCCUCUGCUAGGAAGAUCAAGAGAAAAGGGAUAAAUUGAGAGAGACGCCUCAUAACCCCUUUAAAGAGCUUUGGAGAAGAGAAGAGAAAGAUGGGUGGUGCACCAAGUUCAUCUUGCUUUUAAAGCCUAGCGGGAGCCUGGUUUUCGCUCUGAUGAGGUCCUUCUGCAUUGUUCCAGGGCAGGAGGAGAGAGGAGGAAAAAAAAAUGAGAGAAAAAGGAAAGAAAAAAAAAAAAAGGAGGGAGAGAGAAAGAGAGAGAAAAAAAAAGUCUGAAAUUCAAAGAUAAUGAGAGACUAGGCGCCUUUCUUAUUCAUCUCCAGCUUGCCUACACAAAAACAGCAUCCUGAGCCACGGGAGGGCGUUUGCAUUGGAUCUGAGCGAGGCAGCAGAGUUUGUGCCGCCGGAGCCACAGCGCGCUGCUUCCACUGGAGUGGCCUCACUCUUUUCUUGUGCAGAGGCUCAGAGCGCAGCCCGCUGCGCUGCGGGGUCACAACGCGGGGCCGUGGUACCGUCCCCUUUGCACCCCGACAACGCGCAGAAUUAAAUCACGAGCCCGCUUUUGCUUCUCCGAAAGCCGAAUGGGUGCAGCGACGUGAGGGGCUGCAGCAUCACAGCCGCCCCGGUGCCACCUCCGCCGCCGCGCCGUCACCGCAGCCUCAAGGUGAGACGCGGCCCCUUCCGCAGUUUCCCCGCGGCGGUUCGUAGGUUAGCCUUCAGACCUCAAUAAAUCUCUUUGUAAGACUCGUGUUUUCAGCUUCCUAAAGACACGCCGAGCCCCAAGUCCUGAGCCUCCUGAGCGCUGUACUCACGCAAGGGAAUAUCUCAUUAUUUGGCCGUGUAGCUGGAUUCAGCCGCACACCCUCCGCACCCCCUCCCCUCUUCAUCUCUGCUCCACUUUUAUCAGCAUUGCGUCUGUCCGAGGAAGUGAAUCCAUAGACAGCUCCAUCCUCCAUCCCUGCAGUGGCUGACGUGGGACGCACCACCUUGUCUGCGACAGAGAUGCCGGUAGCAGAGCGUUUUCCUUGUUUAGGAGAGGGGCAAGAACACCCCUACUGCACCUUGCGGGAUUGCUUGGUUUCACGCUCGCCUGUGAAAAGCAGGCGCCUUUAGGGAGGGCUCCUGGGGGAAGAGGGACGAGGAAAGGGAAGAAGCACCGGAGGACACUGCGUGGCGGUGAGGAAGGGAGCUGCCCAGCUCUCGAGGCUGUUCUGCAGCAGACGCGUCGCACGAACGAGCAGUUGGGAACGGGUGUUGCCUGCAGCCCUGGGAAGAGGCAGCAGUGAGGAAGCACGCGAUGCCCAUACGGCUACAUCCAGCGGUGCGGCAAUCCGCUCCUCCUGCGGACCUGAUCCUGAGCGUUGCUCCAGCAAGGCCAGGUAUCGUGUAACUGCAGACACGCUUGGGGCGAGUGGCUGUGAGGCACGGGCAGCCCCAAACUCACCAGGAGGGCUCUUGAGGCACAGAGGUGUGUAAGAGAAGCUGGAUUUUCCCCAUUCCCUUUCCCAGUAGAUCAGCGCAAGCAGCAAGGUGUUGGAGACCUGCUUGCUCUCACGUCCGUCAAGCACUGCAAGGCUGCAGGACACAUUUUUGACCUCAUUUGCCCCCACCAUAAAUCAGGGGCUAAGUGGUGAUGUGCUCACUGCUGGGGUCGGGACAUCUGCACCACCCUGGCCUCUCUGGUGCACACUGGGGGGCAGAUUGCCAGUCAAGGGGCUAUUCUGCUCUUGAAAUGCCUGGUUCUUUGCAAAAUAGGUAUAGAGGGAUAAGGAGCCAAGUUCAGGGAGCCAGGCCCCUCUAAACCAAAAACGGCCUCAGGGACAGAAGGGAGCAAGCCACGAGGCAAUCUGCAGUGCAGCAGGAAAGCUGCUGGCUCCCUCCAGGGGCCACCAAGAAGCCAAGGACAGCUCUGCAAGAUGCAGGUAAUGGGGAGCUGCCAGGGCCAAUCUGCACUGGGCCUGGUUCCCGACACUGGGGUGUGAAGGGGAUCAUGGAUCGAGACCCACUGUGUCAAGACGGUGCCAGCCAGCUCCUGCUCCUGGACCAGAAUCCUGUCCAGGUUUGCAGAGGAGGGAGCGCAUGGACUCUGCAGCACAAGGGACUACUAUGAUGCACAAACACUCCCUCCUCUCCCGAGAUUCCUAUGGUCCCCCUUCCAAGACAAGAGGGAAAUCAAAGAGGUCAGGUGUCUCAGACUAAACCUUCUUUCUCACACACAAAGUGCCCUCGAACGCAAGCACGCACAUUUCUCCAGUGUCCCCAGGCUGCAGCUGGGGCUCUGUAGGAUUGCCCUGAGCGCACUCCCCACUGCAGCGUGGCUACACAGCCGUGAGCCCAGAGUCUGCUGUGCUGCAUUGAGCUUGUCACGAUUGCAUACAUUCUGCAGUCACAAGAGAUGAGAGCACAAGGCAGCGAGUCAGAUCAGCUGCAGCUGGGGGAGGGAGAAGCAGGAAAGGCUGGGGACAAGCAGCCAUGGUCUCGCUUUGCACGUCUCCUUCUCGUAUACCGACCCCUGCUUGUUUAGGUAAGCCAGGACCCAAAUGCCAGAUGACGGCCAAUGUACGUCCAUAAAAAAAUACCCCUCUCUCAUCCACCGUGCUUUGUGCUCAGCAAUGGGAUCCCACGUGCUCAGGGAUGCAGUCCCACCUCUGUGCCAAAGGCAGCCCAUGAGACCUGGCUGCCUGCCAUCCUGCAGUGGCCCCCAGAUGGGGUCUCACUGUGCCCGGGUUCAGCUGGGGGCAGCUCCCCGGGCCAUACACCCUGCAGCCCCAGAGCUGCACUGUCAGCCACAGCCCUGACAUCCUGCCACAGAGCCACCUCCAGCACCGGGCACAUAUUCAGAAGGAGGAUUUAUCCAAGAGCAGAUGCACUCCUGGGCCACUCGUGGCUUUAGUGGAGCCAAGUCCUGUUUUCUGAUGGAAAAACCCCGGGAAAUAGGAACUGCGCUUUGUAACAGAGGGGUUGGGUAAGGCCAUUCUAUGACUAAGUCACCACAAAGGGCAAAUUGCCACUUUAUUUUCUCUGUGGGGUUGCCCCACACUCAGGAGAGCUACACAAUUUCCCUCACAAGGGGAAAGCACAGCAGGAUCCAAGCUGAGGGCAAGGAGGAAGGUUGGCCUUCACCCCCCCCCCCCCCCCAAGCACCCCUUCCUCGCAGUACACAAAGCACCGGUUCCCAUCCCUCAUUCACAGGCCAGCUGGCCAGGGAGCAGCUUUACGUAUGACUGCUUCAUCCUAUACAAAUCCUGCCAUCAGUCAUUAAAGACAGAUUAAAACAAAAAAAAAAAAUACAUGUCUGUGCUCUCGAAUCACCACGUAGCAGAUGGAGCUGUCCUGCAUCCCCCUGCAUGUGCCAGGAGGGCCCCGGGUUUGGGAUAUGCUGAGAAAUACACGGACGGGUUGCAGAUGGGAUAAGGAGAAACAAAUGUGGGCAGAUGAGUGAUAUCAAAGGGUGAACUUAAAAAGAAAGAGGUUAAGGGAAAGAUGUUAACAGUCAAGUGCUUAAGAAGCUGCAGUAAGGGGAGGGGACGAUGUGCCUUCCUAUAGCGAUAUAGGUAGGAACGGGCUGAACCUGAAGCAGAAAUCAUUCGGGUAGUAGGAAAAGAGCUUUGCAGUGGAAAGGAUGCAGAAGCACUGGAGCAGCCUGGGAAGGAGGAGAAAUUCCCAUCUGGGGGAGGUACGGGGGAAGGGCCUGGCAGCACUCCCUGUGCAGUGCUGGUCUCAGCAGUCCUAUGCAGGCAUCCCCAGCACACAAAGUGACUGCUCCACUGGCAUCACGCACCCAUCUGCCCCAGAACUGAAUAUCUCCCUCCUGCCAACCCCCUCCCCUCCCAUCCAUCUUUACCUUCUUUCCCGGAGCCGAAGUGUUUCUGUGUCACCACAGAGACCUGGAAAGGGAUGGCAGAAGGCAGUGCCUGUAAAAGCCCAGGGCUGCUGUCCUGCUUUGAGAACAGGGCAGAGGCAUCCCGACAGCAGCGAUCGAAUUCAAGGUGUCAUUGUCCUUUUCUUCCAGAAAGGUAAGAGCUUUCCAGAAAGACUCACAGCUCCAGGCUGCUGCGCCAGGUGUACAAUAAGAUCAAGCCCACAGAAUCAAUCCAGUUUGGGGUUAUUCCCUCACCCAAUUUGUCCCACGCCAGCUCAAAACCGACCGAUUAAGCUCUAAUACCCCCAGGUGAUGUAUCCCAAAUGCCAUCCCGGAGGGACCGCUGUUUUCUCUGCUCUCCUAAUAGGCCCCUUUCUGUGAGCAGCACACCUUGUUGGGUGCGUUUGCAGAAAUAGGAAAUCAGAGGUAACCCGAUGUGUACAGGAGGGCAUCGGCUGUAAGGCAGGUACACAUAUGGCCGUGUCUUGAAGAUGACAUGCGCAGGGGACCUGCAGAAUCAGAGAAGCAUUCAGAGAAGUUGCUCAAGGAUCCUGCCCUCCAUCUGCCCCUCUCUCCGGAGGGGUUUUGGGGUUGUCAGGAACAUUCACCUCACCUGCAGCACAGCUUUCCCAGCCCGGGCUGUGUGCUCUGAGCCUAAGCUAAGGGGCUCUGUCCAUGGGGACGGCCUCUCCACUGCACAGUCCGUGCUGCAGAGCGGCUCUCCCCAUCACACAAUGGCUGCAGGGCCAUUACAGCACAAGGAUCACCUUCAGGAGGUGUUCUCGUAGCCCUGCAGGUAACUCCACCGGCAGCUGCUUGAGCAGGCAGCACCUUCUUAAAUUCCUAUCGCCCUUCUCACAAAGGAAGAGCCGAGACAAAACCGGUUCCUGCUUAAGCGGAGGAAACAAUAGCGGGACAAAGCCACACUCCGUGCUGCAAAGGCGCGGGUGGCCGCAGGAUGGCACUCCUGCCGCUUGUCCUUGAGGGACGGGAGAGCUGUGCCGGG
ensembl:lncRNA